GAUGAAGAACGUAGCGAAAUGCGAUAAGUAAUGUGAAUUGCAGAAUUCAGUGAAUCAUCGAAUCUUUGAACGCACAUUGCGCCCGCCAGUAUUCUGGCGGGCAUGCCUGUUCGAGCGUCAUUUCCACCAUCAGGCCCCCGGGCCUGUGUUGGGGACCUGCGGCUGCCCGCAGGCCCCGAAAUUCAGUGGCGGUCGCGCCGUAGCAACCGAGCGUAGUAACUAAAACGUCUCGCUCUGGCUCGCUGGGCGCGCUCCGGCCGUAAAACACCCCCCCUUUUCGCAAAGGUUGACCUCGGAUCAGGUAGGAAUACCCGCUGAACUUAAGCAUAUCAAAAGCGGAGGA
rnacentral:misc_RNA from 1 species